rnacentral:lncRNA from 8 species
GUCUCUGUCUUCCAUUUGAACAUGAUGGGACAAUGAGGCCAAGGGAUAUUAACAGACAUUUUUAAAAGGAAUUGACCACAAAAAUGUAUUGAAAGUUUAAUUCAAUCAAACAGCUAAACAGUUGAAUACUUUAUACAUUUUCCAUCUAGUAGUGAGUCUGAGGUAAGUAACCAGCAAGGUCACACCAGCAACAGCAUUGUUGUGUUGUGUGAGGGAGGCGGGUAGUGAGAGGGCAGUGACGCUGAAUAGUGCCCUCCUCCCCUCCCCAAUUCCGCCGAUUUAACGGCUGCCCACUCCUCGCUCCUGCACCGACCUCCAGGGGAAAGCGCUUUGUUACCAACCGUAUACAAAUUCUACGCGGGUUACCCAAGUCCGACUCAAUUAAAAUACAGUAGCCCCAGAGAACGGCGGCAGUGGUAACACAGCGACAGCUAACCCUACCUGGAGA